UGGGGAAUUUUGGACAAUGGGCGAAAGCCUGAUCCAGCAAUGCCGCGUGUGUGAAGAAGGCCUUCGGGUUGUAAAGCACUUUUGUCCGGAAAGAAAUCCUUGGCUCUAAUACAGUCGGGGGGAUGACGGUACCGGAAGAAUAAGCACCGGCUAACUACGUGCCAGCAGCCGCGGUAAUACGUAGGGUGCAAGCGUUAAUCGGAAUUACUGGGCGUAAAGCGUGCGCAGGCGGUUUGCUAAGACCGAUGUGAAAUCCCCGGGCUCAACCUGGGAACUGCAUUGGUGACUGGCAGGCUAGAGUAUGGCAGAGGGGGGUAGAAUUCCACGUGUAGCAGUGAAAUGCGUAGAGAUGUGGAGGAAUACCGAUGGCGAAGGCAGCCCCCUGGGGCCAAUACUGACGCUCAUGCACGAAAGCGUGGGGAGCAAACAGGAUUAGAUACCCUGGUAGUCCACGCCCUAAACGAUGUCAACUAGUUGUUGGGGAUUCAUUCCCUUAGUAACGUAGCUAACGCGUGAAGUUGACCGCCUGGGGAGUACGGUCGCAA
rnacentral:rRNA from 1 species